GCGCAGCAGUCGAGAAACUUCACACUGUGCGAAAGCACGAUGAGGGAAUCCCAAGUGCUUGCACGUAAGUGUAAGCUGUUUCUCUGUUUAAAACGCAGAGAGAGUAAGGGCUGGGUAAGACGGGUGCCAGCCGCCGCGGUAAUACCUGCAGCUCAAGUGGUGACCGUUAUUAUUGGGCCUAAAACGUCCGUAGCCGGUUUAAUAAAUGCCUGGGUAAAUCGUGUAGCUUAACUAUACGAAUUCCGGGUAGACUGUUAAACUCGAGACCGGGAGAAGUUAGAGGUACUCCUGGGGUAGAGGUGAAAUUCUGUAAUCCUAGGGGACCACCAGUGGCGAAGGCGUCUAACUAGAACGGGUCUGACGGUGAGGGACGAAGCCCUGGGGCGCAAACGGGAUUAGAUACCCCUGUAGU
rnacentral:rRNA from 1 species